AGGUUUCCGUAGUGACCUGCGGAGGAUCAUUAUUGAAAUAAACCUGAUGGGUUGUUGCUGGCUCUCUAGGGAGCAUGUGCACACCUUGUCAUCUUUAUAUCUCCACCUGUGCACUUUUUGUAGACCUUUCAGGUCUAUGUUGCUUUCAUUUACCCCAAUGUAUGUUAAUAGAAUGUUGUGCCUAUAUAAUAUAUACAACUUUCAGCAACGGAUCUCUUGACUCUCGCAUCGAUGAAGAACGCAGCGAAAUGCGAUAAGUAAUGUGAAUUGCAGAAUUCAGUGAAUCAUCGAAUCUUUGAACGCACCUUGCGCUCCUUGGUAUUCCGAGGAGCAUGCCUGUUUGAGUGUCAUUAAUAUAUCAACCUUCUCUUUUUUGAGUUGUUUGGAUGUGGGGGUUUGCUGGCCUCUUAAAUGAUUCAGCUCCCCUGAAAUGCAUUAGCAGAACAACCUGUUCAUUGGCGUGAUAAUUAUCUAUGCUAUUGAAUGUGAGGGCAGUUCAGCUUUCUAACCGUCCUUGGACAAUUCAUCAUUAAUGUGACCUCAAAUCAAGUAGGACUACCCGCUGAACUUAAGCAUAUCAAUAAGCGGAGGAAAAGAAACUAACAAGGAUUCCCCUAGUAACUGCGAGUGAAGCGGGAAAAGCUCAAAUUUAAAAUCUG
rnacentral:rRNA from 1 species